GCUUCAGAAAUAAUGUUCCAUUGUUUCUGAAAAUUGGAAACAGAUUUUAUUACAAAAAACACAUUUGCUUCCCCCUAUUAAAAGAAAAAAAAAAAAACAAAACAGAAAAUCUUCAAUGCAACACACUUGAUCAAAUCAUAUUGAGAAAUUAGCAACUGUAUGGCAGUAUCUUCUGAUAUCUUCUGAAAGCAAGGAAUCAGCAGUGAGAUUCACUCCUGACAAAGAAAGGAGGCUGUAAAAUAGAAAGCUGAAACCCUAACUGGCAGCAAGGGACUGAGCAUCUGAAAAGAGGAAGAGAUGGCUGCAAAAGCUGAAGUUAGAUGAGAAGCUUUUGGAAGACUGGUGCAAUCAGCUGUAACUGGAAAACUCAAAAGAGCAGAAAAAGAGGUCUUCAAGGAUCACCAUUAGAGAUGUGUGUCAUUGCUAUGGCAAACACUGGGAACCUCAAUGAAUCCAGGUGACAAGCUUUAGGAAGAAAAAGGAACAUUAACAACUGCAGCUCAAUGACAACCACAAUACCUCAGUCCCAGAAAGACUCAUUUCAAACCAACCCAAAAUUAAGUCUUUUCUUUUGAUUUUUCACUAACAGAAAUAUUAUCUAAAAGGAUGCUUUCCUCAAUGUAUAUACUUAUAAAAUCA